CGCCUUGGAAAAAUCAAAGUUCCGCUGCCCGGUGAUUUUUAUAAUUAAACGGCUGCGGUACUUUGACCGUGCAAAGGUAGCAUAAUCAUUAGCCUGUUAAUUUCAGGCUGGCAUCAAUGGCAAGACGAAGAAAAAGCUGUCUCUUUCCAUUAAAAUUUGAACUUUUUAUUCUGGUUAAGAAGCCAGAAUUAGUUAGUGGGACGAGAAGACCCUAUUGAGUUUUAGUUUUAUUUUAGAAAAAUAAAUUUAAAAAUAAAAUUUUAGUUGGGGCAACUAGUUUUACCAUUAAACAGAAAAUUUUAUAAUGAAUUGAAUCAUCAAAUAAAUGACCCAAAUAUGUUUUGGGAAAUAGAAAAAAUUACCAUAGGGAUAACAGCGUAAUUCCUUUUGAGAGUACGUAUUGACAAAGGAGUUUGCGACCUCGAUGUUGGAUCAAGAAAACCUGGGGGUGUAGCAGCUUCCAAAGGCUGGUUUGUUCAACCAUAAAAAACUU
rnacentral:rRNA from 1 species